UACGUAGGGUGCAAGCGUUGUCCGGAAUUAUUGGGCGUAAAGAGCUCGUAGGCGGUUUGUCACGUCGGCUGUGAAAACUCGGGGCUCAACCCCGAGCCUGCAGUCGAUACGGGCAGACUAGAGUGCUGUAGGGGAGAUCGGAAUUCCUGGUGUAGCGGUGAAAUGCGCAGAUAUCAGGAGGAACACCGGUGGCGAAGGCGGAUCUCUGGGCCUUACCUGACGCUGAGGCGCGAAAGCUAGGGGAGCGAACAGG
rnacentral:rRNA from 1 species